CCCUCCAAUUGAAUAGCCAUUCUUUAAAUUCAACUAUCUGACUAACUGAAUACCCUUGACUGUUUUAUUGUCUAGUCCACAUCUCCCCAUCUUGUCUAUAAGACUAGUAUGACAUGUUUUAUUAAAAGUAAAUCAAUAGGAAUCUUUCCCUCUACUAGUUCACUAAUAUUGUGAAAAAAAGAAAUGAGAUUCGUAUGGAACCUCCUCCCCCCAUUCUUGAUGAUGCCAUAUUGACUAUUACUCAAGUUUUUAUGGAAGAGGAAUCCAGGCAAGAGUUGAUGAGGACCUAAACUAAAGGGGUGGUGACUAUGUCAAGGGAGAGAAAGGAACAUAUUCCAAUGAAGUUGUGAAGGCAGAAUGAUAAGAUUUGGCAACAGCCUGGAUAUGUGUGGUGAGUAAAAGUGAGGAGCCAAGGAUUAGCAAUUACCCAAUUUUAUAGAUAAAUAGAUCGAGGUCCUAAACAACAGAUAAUUAAUCUGUCUCAACCAAUCAAUCUAUAAACAUUUAAGCAUCAACUAUGUGCCAGGUGGUGUGUUAAGCAAUGAAGAUACAAAAAGAGACAAAAGAAUAUCCCUACCCUCAAGAAGUUUACAUAGGUUGUAUGUUGUAGAUCUGCAGUUUGAACUCUCUCCUAAUUCUGUAAUCAAUUAUUUCUAACAUGUC
rnacentral:lncRNA from 1 species